rnacentral:rRNA from 1 species
CAGUCGCCACGGUAAUACGGAGGGUGCAAGCGUUAAUCGGAAUUACUGGGCGUAAAGCGCACGCAGGCGGUCUGUCAAGUCAGAUGUGAAAUCCCCGGGCUUAACCUGGGAACUGCAUUUGAAACUGGCAGGCUAGAGUCUUGUAGAGGGGGGUAGAAUUCCAGGUGUAGCGGUGAAAUGCGUAGAGAUCUGGAGGAAUACCGGUGGCGAAGGCAGCCAUCUGGCCUAAUACUGACGCUGAGGUACGAAAGCAUGGGGAGCAAACAGGAUUAGAUACCCCUGUAGUCCCUGUCUCUUAUAC